AUUGAACGCUGGCGGCAGGCUUAACACAUGCAAGUCGAGCGGGGUGAUGGUGCUUGCACUAUCACUUAGCGGCGGACGGGUGAGUAAUGCUUAGGAAUCUGCCUAUUAGUGGGGGACAACAUCUCGAAAGGGAUGCUAAUACCGCAUACGUCAUACGGGAGAAAGCAGGGGAUCAUUUGUGACCUUGCGCUAAUAGAUGAGCCUGAGUCGGAUUAGCUAGUUGGUGGGGUAAAGGCAUACCAAGGCGACGAUCUGUGGCGGGGCUGAGAGGAUGAUCCGCCACACUGGGACUGAGACACGGCCCAGACUCCUACGGGAGGCAGCAGUGGGGAAUAUUGGACAAUGGGGGGAACCCUGAUCCAGCCAUGCCGCGUGUGUGAAGAAGGCCUUAUGGUUGUAAAGCACUUUAAGCGAGGAGGAGGCUCUUUUGGUUAAUACCCAAGAUGAGUGGACGUUACUCGCAGAAUAAGCACCGGCUAACUCUGUGCCAGCCGCCGCCGUAA
rnacentral:rRNA from 1 species